rnacentral:lncRNA from 1 species
AUGCCAAAUCAUGUAGCAAAACCCAGCGAGGCUGGUGGCGGCAGUGGUGGUGGUGGGUUGUUGGAAGUCAAUGCCUCAGUUCAGGGAGGGUGUGCAGCAGAAGGACUGCAAGCCCUGGGGACUGAGAAGCACUUGGGCUCAGUGUCAGCAGGGCUGCUAAGGAGACUGAGGGUGUGGGGCCAGCACGCGCCCAGCCUGGAGCAGCUGCAGCCUCGGUGCUCAGGUCAGUCUGAUGCUGUUUGCAAGUAUGCUGGUGUUUCUCCAGGAAUUCUGGACUUGAGGGUUGCUCAAAGCAACCUUCUGGAGGCCUAUGAGAAGUUCCAGCCACAGGAAUUCUACCCAGAAAACACACAGGUUUCAUACAGCACAUCCUUCUUCACUGCAAAGCAGCAGUUUAAUAAGAGCUCUGAGUAUCUCAGCAGAGGUCACUAAGUUACUUUUAAAUAUUGGCACAGAGAACGUACAGUUUCAUCUUCAGCAGAACCUCCCUUCCCAGCAAGGUUGGUAUACAAGUGUGUGAUAAUUGCAUGAUCACUCUUUGCUUCUUUCUUUCAUUCUGAUAUCCACAUCUUAGUUUUUAUAAACACAGGGUUGCAUGUGGUCAACAUGGCUGUUUCUUCACAGAAUAGGCUUCUCAACAGGAAGAAAAAAAGAAAUUAGGAUGCAUAGAACUGCAGUGUGAAGCUGUUUUCAGAACAUACCCUCUACCACUCCACCCAUAAACCCUAAAUUACUAAUUUUCCUCAGCCACAAGGCAUGGAGAAAAAAAAGAGAGAUCAAGGUAUUUUACGUAGGGAGCUUCAAGGAAACAGGCUAAAAAGGGAAUGAAUAACUCAGUCAACUCUUAUUUAAGCAAUGUUGGUCAAGUUCUUUGAGUGUCUCCUCAUGGCUUUGCUGAGGAAUUUUUUAUAAUCUUCUAUAAGAUUAAAGCUAAC